AAUUUCUUUUCUGCUACUUUUGUAAUAUUUUCAGAUAUAAAUAUUUCCUUCUCCCAUUUUCUACAAGCUUAUGGAUUCAACUUUUUCUCAAUCAAAAUAUUUGCUUCUUAUCUGUUUCCAGCCGCCUUCACCGUUUUCAUUUAAUAUUGUCGAAAUAUUUUUGCUCUCAACUUUAUCAAAUUUACAGCUUUUUGCUACAGUUUUCCGUGGGCUUCUGGAUUACUUCUUCCUUCGGAUCUUCUUACAUUCUAGAUUGUUUCAGAUCAGAUUUUAAUUUAUUUUCUUACAUCUGCUCAUCCUUUCCCCCGCUUCCUAAUUUCUGUAGGAAUUAUCAAAAUUUUUACAUUUAUCUGAAUGUAAUCUAAUUUGUCUUUUCUACCGCCUAAGCUGGUGCCUACUUCCUAUAAGAAUAUCCUCACUCUCCUUACAUUUCUAAUGUUUUCUAUCUCUGUUUCAAGUACCUCAAAUAUCUUUCUUUAAACCCUACGUUCUAAAUUUCUCUUCCAACUUUCGAAACUCGCAGGUUCUAAAUUUGUCUUCCAGCUUUCCAAUCUUCCAGGUCAAUUUUUCUUUUCCUGUUUUCUCACUACUUUCUUAAGUUAUUUACAUAUAUGCAAUGAAAAUAAGAAAUAAAAAAUUUACAUCACUAUUUGCAUUAAAAGAAAUAAAUUUUGCUUCGGAAACCUGGCUAAAUCGUCAUUCCUUUGAUGCUGUUCUUGCCUCCAUUUAUUUCUAAAUCUUCAUUUAUUUUUGCUGUCUUUAAAUUUCAUUCUCUGUUUAUGUAUACAGUAUCUGGAAUAGAAAUAGAAGGAAUAAACUAAGAAAUAAAAUUAUAAAAUUAAAAACAUGUAAUUCAUGUUCACAUCUACAAAUAUUCAUUAAAAAUCAAAGAAAAACUGAUACUAAACAAAUAAGACUUUCAGUAUACGUCGGGGAAAAAAACUUGGAACAAAUAUCAAACACUUGGAAUAAUACUAAAAAAACAGAGGCAUGUAUAAAAAAAAAAAAUCAGAAAAUGUUUGUACAAAUAUUCAUUCAACUCGAAAUAAAAAUGAUAUUGACAAAAAACACUAUGAAUAUAGGUCAAGAAAAAAUUAAUUCAUCAACACUUGAAUUGCAUAUGUUCAUAUAACGUCUAAACAAAUACCAAACAUAGUUAGGUAUACUAAAAGAACACAGUAACAUAUAUAAGAAAGAAAUCAGAAGAUAACAAAUAAGAAGUUGAAAAAAUUUUAGUGGAUGUACAUAUAUUCACCGUGCUCAAAACAAAACUGCUGCUGACAAAAACGUACAAGAAACAAAUUAAAAGAUGACAAAAAAAAAUUUCAUAACAUGCAGUACAUGUGUACAUCUACAGAGAUUCACUAAGCUCAAAAUAAAAGUAAUUGUAAGGAAAAAAUUAAGUCAAACCAUAAGAAAGACAAAGAUUUCUUGCCAUUUCAAACUUAAAAAUUUCGAAAGAAAAAAUCCAUCCAAACAUCCUAACAUAUAAAUAAAAUGACAAUAAAAACACAUGAAACUAAAUGAGAACAUG